GGGUAGGAGUCUAAUUAAAAUAGACCUAAUCCAAUCAGGUCAAAGGCAACAAGUUCAAUUUAGCUCAAACACUUUGAACUUAACCUAAUUAAAAACUUGGAUUAGCACAAUGUGCUAGCAAAUCAAAUUAACCCCUAGAAUUUAUAUUAAAUUCUAAUUAAAUCAAAUCAAGAUCAAAUUCUAAAGUGUGUGACCCAUUCAGUUCUAAAUUUAACCAGCAGUAGAUACAGACUCAUGA
rnacentral:lncRNA from 1 species